CUAAACGACUCUCGGCAACGGAUAUCUCGGCUCUCGCAUCGAUGAAGAACGUAGCGAAAUGCGAUACUUGGUGUGAAUUGCAGAUAUCCCGUGAACCAUCGAGUCUUUGAACGCAAGUUGCGCCCGAAACCAUUCGGUUGAGGGCACGUCUGCCUGGGCGUCACGCA
rnacentral:rRNA from 1 species